CUCGGCACUCGGCAGGGCAGAUCGGCUAUUCGGCUUGCAAAACCCUCUCUAGCUCUCCUCGCCGACGUCCGGUCCACUGUGCGUCCGUGCAGAGUCCCGUGACUUCCGUCCUCUCCUCGGCGUCCAGCGUCCUCGCCGACUCCGAGUCGCCGUCCUCGGCUCCUCCGACAUCCGACUCCGCGGCGACCGAGGGCCGAGGCGGUGAGGCCUCAGUGACUCAGUCCCAUCCUCUUCUCGCCGACGUCGCCGACUCGCCGUCCUCGGCCUCCCGUGAGGCUGUGACCGGCGCCGGCGGUGGCCCCGUCCUCUCCUCAGACCUCAGCUCCUCCGCCGCUCCGGCCGG
rnacentral:lncRNA from 1 species